GACGAACGCUGGCGGCGUGCCUAAUACAUGCAAGUAGAACGCUGAAGGAGGAGCUUGCUUCUCUGGAUGAGUUGCGAACGGGUGAGUAACGCGUAGGUAACCUGCCUGGUAGCGGGGGAUAACUAUUGGAAACGAUAGCUAAUACCGCAUAAUAGUAGAUGUUGCAUGACAUUUGCUUAAAAGGUGCAAUUGCAUCACUACCAGAUGGACCUGCGUUGUAUUAGCUAGUUGGUGAGGUAACGGCUCACCAAGGCAACGAUACAUAGCCGACCUGAGAGGGUGAUCGGCCACACUGGGACUGAGACACGGCCCAGAACCCUACGGGAGGCAGCAGUAGGGAAUCUUCGGCAAUGGACAGAAGUCUGACCGAGCAACGCCGCGUGAGUGAAGAAGGUUUUCGGAUCGUAAAGCUCUGUUGUAAGAGAAGAACGAGUGUGAGAGUGGAAAGUUCACACUGUGACGGUAUCUUACCAGAAAGGGACGGCUAACUACGUG
rnacentral:rRNA from 1 species